rnacentral:lncRNA from 1 species
UCUUUCCAAAGACAUAAGGAUUAUUUUUGGAGGGUUUUUGAGGAUUUAGAAAUUAUUAUUGAAAGUCAGGGUUUGUAUUGGUGAUUUGAAUUUUAUAUAAUAUAAUUAAGACUAGCAAUUUUGGCUAGUUCAUGCAAUUGGUAUGACAUCUAUAGUUAAAAAUUUCAAACUAUUUGGAUUAUUGAAUGUGCUAAGUAUAUACAAAACUUUGUGAUAAUUUAAUGGUGUGGUUUAGAGAUAUCUUAUUUUUAGCACAAGAAGGUUUCAGAAGUUGGCAGUUUGAGGUUGGGUAGGAUUUUUGUGAUAUCUAGAGAUCUAUCAGUUGGAUCAAGGUAAAAUUUGGCAUGGUAUUGAAGGAAUUGAAGAUCAAGUUGCACACCAAUUUUGAGUCAAAUUUAAAAAUUGAAAAGGGAGAAGUUACUACUAAGAUUUUUGCUUUAUUUUUCAAGUUGGUGGUCAAGUGACAUUUUUGUAAUUUUUGGAGGUUUUCUCACAAUUUGUAAGUUGGAUUGAAUUAAAAAUUCUUGAGCAUAUAGAAGACUUACAUUGACAAUUGCAUGCAAAAUUUUACAUCAAGUGGAUGGUCGGAUUGGAGCUUAGAAGAAAA